rnacentral:pre_miRNA from 1 species
UUGUUGACUUUCGAAAUAAAUAACAAAGUUUUUGUUGACUUGUCAUUUGAGUCAUGUCGUUAAGUAGGUUAACAAAAAAAAUUUACGGCGUUAAUGUCUCCUUUAUCUCCUCUGUUAGAACAAAAAAACGUUGUUUAUUGCAGUUCGUUUUGUCUGUUGACACAAAUUUAAACCCUAAAUCCCCAAAUCGAUUUUAUUAUCUGCGAUUUUGAAGUCAAUGUGGGUCUGUGAUUUUGAGAUAAUAAAAUCGAUUUGGAGAUUUAGGGUUUAUAUUUGUUUCAAGAGACAAAACAACGUUGUUUUGUCUCUUCAAUAAACGACGUUGUUUUGUUCUAACAGAUCAAAUAAACAUUAACACCGUAAAAAAAUUCUCUUAACCUAUUUAACGAUAUGACUCAAAUGGCAAGUCAACAAAAACUUUGUCAUUUAUUUCGAAAGUUAACAA